rnacentral:rRNA from 1 species
CAUGCAAGUCGAGCGAACAGACGAGGGGCUUGCUCCUCUGACGUUAGCGGCGGACGGGUGAGUAACACGUGGAUAACCUACCUAUAAGACUGGGAUAACUCCGGGAAACCGGGGCUAAUACCGGAUAACACAUGAAACCGCAUGGUUUCAUGAUGAAAGACGGUUUUGCUGUCACUUAUAGAUGGACCCGCGGCGUAUUAGCUAGUUGGUAAGGUAACGGCUUACCAAGGCAACGAUACGUAGCCGACCUGAGAGGGUGAUCGGCCACACUGGAACUGAGACACGGUCCAGACUCCUACGGGAGGCAGCAGUAGGGAAUCUUCCGCAAUGGGCGAAAGCCUGACGGAGCAACGCCGCGUGAGUGAUGAAGGUCUUCGGAUCGUAAAACUCUGUUAUUAGGGAAGAACAAGGAUGUAAGUAACUAUGCAUCCCUUGACGGUACCUAAUCAGAAAGCCACGGCUAACUACGUGCCAGCAGCCGCGGUAAUACGUAGGUGGCAAGCGUUAUCCGGAAUUAUUGGGCGUAAAGCGCGCGUAGUCGGUUUUUUAAGUCUGAUGUGAAAGCCCACGGCUCAACCGUGGAGGGUCAUUGGAAACUGGAAAACUUGAGUGCAGAAGAGGAAAGUGGAAUUCCAUGUGUAGCGGUGAAAUGCGCAGAGAUAUGGAGGAACACCAGUGGCGAAGGCGACUUUCUGGUCUGCAACUGACGCUGAUGUG